rnacentral:rRNA from 1 species
GAUCCUGGCUCAGAACGAACGCUGGCGGCAUGCCUAACACAUGCAAGUCGAACGAGACCUUCGGGUCUAGUGGCGCACGGGUGCGUAACGCGUGGGAACCUGCCUUUAGGUUCGGAAUAACAGUGAGAAAUUACUGCUAAUACCGCAUAAUGUCUACGGACCAAAGUGUGGGACCUUCGGGCCACAUGCUAUCGGAUGCGCCUACGUGGGAUUAGCUAGUUGGUGGGGUAAUGGCUCACCAAGGCGACGAUCCCUAGCUGGUUUGAGAGGAUGAUCAGCCACACUGGAACUGAGACACGGUCCAGACUCCUACGGGAGGCAGCAGUGGGGAAUUUUGGACAAUGGACGCAAGUCUGAUCCAGCCAUUCCGCGUGCAGGACGAAGGCCUUCGGGUUGUAAACUGUCUUUUGUACAGAACGAAAGGUCUCUAUUAAUACUAGGGGCUCAUGACGGUACUGUAAGAAUAAGCACCGGCUAACUACGUG